GACGAACGCUGGCGGCGUGCCUAAUACAUGCAGGUCGAACGCACAGUUUAUACCGUAGCUUGCUACACCAUAGACUGUGAGUUGCGAACGGGUGAGUAACGCGUAGGUAACCUGCCUGGUAGCGGGGGAUAACUAUUGGAAACGAUAGCUAAUACCGCAUAAUAUUAAUUAUUGCAUGAUAAUUAAUUGAAAGGUGCAAUUGCACCACUACCAGAUGGACCUGCGUUGUAUUAGCUAGUAGGUGAGGUAACGGCUCACCUAGGCGACGAUACAUAGCCGACCUGAGAGGGUGAUCGGCCACACUGGGACUGAGACACGGCCCAGACUCCUACGGGAGGCAGCAGUAGGGAAUCUUCGGCAAUGGACGAAAGUCUGACCGAGCAACGCCGCGGGAGUGAAGAAGGUUUUCGGAUCGUAAAGCUCUGUUGUAAGAGAAGAACGGGUGUGAGAGUGGAAAGUUCACACUGUGACGGUAGCUUACCAGAAAGGGACGGCUAACUACGUG
rnacentral:rRNA from 1 species